GACGAACGCUGGCGGCGUGCUUAACACAUGCAAGUCGAACGGAAAGGCCCUGCUUUUGUGGGGUGCUCGAGUGGCGAACGGGUGAGUAACACGUGAGUAACCUGCCCUUGACUUUGGGAUAACUUCAGGAAACUGGGGCUAAUACCGGAUAGGAGCUCCUGCUGCAUGGUGGGGGUUGGAAAGUUUCGGCGGUUGGGGAUGGACUCGCGGCUUAUCAGCUUGUUGGUGGGGUAGUGGCUUACCAAGGCUUUGACGGGUAGCCGGCCUGAGAGGGUGACCGGCCACAAUGGGACUAAGAUACGGACCAGACUCCUACGGGAGGCAGCAGUGGGGAAUAUGGCACAAUGGGCGGAAGCCUGAGGCAGCGACGCCGCGUGCGGGAUGACGGCCUUCGGGUUGUAAACCGCUUUCGCCUGUGACGAAGCGUGAGUGACGGUAAUGGGUAAAGAAGCACCGGCUAACUACGUG
rnacentral:rRNA from 1 species